UAGGUCAUUCUUGAUGAUGAAGUCCAAAAUGAACAUGUUGCUUAAAGUGAUAUUGCUCUGGACACUUAUCUACAUCCAAGAAUGCAGGGGGCAGUACACAGUGAAUCAGACUCCAUCAGUAUUACCUGCUGUUCCUGGACAAACAGUCACCCUGAACUGUAAAGUCAGCAGUAAUGUUUAUAGCAACAACUGUCUGCACUGGUACCAUCAGACGCCUGGAGGAGCUCCUAAACUUUUGAUUAUAUAUGCAAGCAAACCACAUUCUGGAACUCCAUCUAGAUUUCAAGGGAGUGGAUCAAGCACAGACUUCACUCUGACCAUCAGUGGAGUCCAGGCUGAAGAUGCAGGAGAUUACUACUGUCAGAGUUACCACAGUAGUGGUAUGUGGUUGACUUUUGGUAGCGGCACGAAGCUUGAUGUUGGAAGUAACACCAGCCCCAAACUGACAGUCUUGCCCCCGUCAAGCGAAGAGCUCUCCAGCAAGAGUACUGCCACGCUGGUGUGCCUGGCCAACGGAGGCUUCCCGUCAGACUGGGCUCUCAGCUGGAAGGUGGAUGGGAACAGCAGACCUGGGGUGGCCAGUCGCUGGGGUCCAGAGAAGAACGGCCUGUACAGCUGGAGCAGCACCCUGACCAUGCCUUCUCAGGAGUGGACCAAGGCUGCCUCAGUGACCUGUGAGGCCAAACAGGGCUCCCAGUCUCCAGUCACCAAGGUUAUAAAGAGAGGCGAAUGCUCUGACUAGAGUAGCCUACUUCCAUUUUCUACAGUCUGGGUGACUGAUUAUAGUAUUUGUCUUAUUUUUGUAUCGUUCAUGUGCUCACUGUACUGUGUUUGCUGUCUUCAUUGACAUACAUCCACAGCCUUACUGUUAUCUACUUGUUCUGCUUGAUCAAUGAGAAAAUGUUCUUGUGCCGUUUCUGUUGCAAAAUUUGACAUGGAAAAAAUAAAAGCUUUCUACUGAA